rnacentral:rRNA from 1 species
AGUGAACGCUGGCGGUAGGCCUAACACAUGCAAGUCGAACGGCAGCACAGUAAGAGCUUGCUCUUACGGGUGGCGAGUGGCGGACGGGUGAGGAAUACAUCGGAAUCUACUUUUUCGUGGGGGAUAACGUAGGGAAACUUACGCUAAUACCGCAUACGACCUACGGGUGAAAGCAGGGGAUCUUCGGACCUUGCGCUAUUGAAUGAGCCGAUGUCGGAUUAGCUAGUUGGCGGGGGAAAGGCCCACCAAGGCGACGAUCCGUAGCUGGUCUGAGAGGAUGAUCAGCCACACUGGAACUGAGACACGGUCCAGACUCCUACGGGAGGCAGCAGUGGGGAAUAUUGGACAAUGGGCGCAAGCCUGAUCCAGCCAUACCGCGUGGGUGAAGAAGGCCUUCGGGUUGUAAAGCCCUUUUGUUGGGAAAGAAAAGCAGCAGGUUAAUACCCCGCUGUUCUGACGGUACCCAAAGAAUAAGCACCGGCUAACUUCGUG